UACGGGGGGGGGCAAGCGUUGUUCGGAAUUACUGGGCGUAAAGGCUCGUAGGCGGCCAACUAAGUCAGACGUGAAAUCCCUCAGCUUAACUGGGGAACUGCGUCUGAUACUGGAUGGCUUGGAUUCGGGAGAGGAAUGCGGAAUUCCAGGUGUAGCGGUGAAAUGCGUAGAUAUCUGGAGGAACACCGGUGGCGAAGGCGGCAUUCUGGACCGACAUUGACGCUGAGGAGCGAAAGCCAGGGGAGCAAACGGG
rnacentral:rRNA from 1 species